GAUGAACGCUGGCGGCGUGCCUAAUACAUGCAAGUCGAGCGAACAGAUAAGGAGCUUGCUCCUUUGAAGUUAGCGGCGGACGGGUGAGUAACACGUGGGUAACCUACCUAUAAGACUGGGAUAACUUCGGGAAACCGGAGCUAAUACCGGAUAACAUUUAGAACCGCAUGGUUCUAAAGUGAAAGAUGGUUUUGCCAUCACUUAUAGAUGGACCCGCGCCGUAUUAGCUAGUUGGUAAGGUAACGGCUUACCAAGGCGACGAUACGUAGCCGACCUGAGAGGGUGAUCGGCCCCACCGGAACUGAGACACGGUCCAGACUCCUACGGGAGGCAGCAGUAGGGAAUCUUCCGCAAUGGGCGAAAGCCUGACGGAGCAACGCCGCGUGAGUGAUGAAGGGUUUCGGCUCGUAAAACUCUGUUAUUAGGGAAGAACAAAUGUGUAAGUAACUGUGCACAUCUUGACGGUACCUAAUCAGAAAGCCACGGCUAACUACGUG
rnacentral:rRNA from 1 species